AUUGGUUUUCUAGGUUUUCCUUAGCUCAAAAGGUGGAAGAAAGAAAAUGACAAUUUUAAGUUGUUAUUUAUAUCUUAAUUAGUUUUUUAAUUAAUCAAAAUUAAGUUAAUUAACCUAUAAGCUUAAUUAACAUGUGAUAGUGGAUUACAAUCGACAUCCACACCCAAAUUUUCAAUUGGUCCUCCAAUUAAUUAAAAAUCCAUAACAAUUAAUUUUUAUCAUUUUUAUAAUUUAGUCAUUAUACCUUAAUUAACUAUCAGAUUAACAAAAUUAAUAGACCAAAUUUUAAUUAGACUUUAUACUAACCUCGUUCAUAUUAUAAUAAUAUUUACGGACUCGCAAAUCGAAAAUAAAAUUUCGAAACCACCGUUUUCGACACUACUAACUUUCGAGUUGUUGCACAACGUCUAUGAUUUCAUUCUUCAAAGUUAAGGUUUAUAACACCAUAAUAGUCUUACAAUUUUCUAUUUCUGUUUUUUUAAUAAUAUUAUUUUAAUCUAAAAGAUUAUUCGAGCUAGGAAAAGUUAGAAUUCUACAUUUAAUAGGAAGAAAUUUAAAUUAAUUUAAUGAAAAAAAUCACUCAUAUAUUCCCUUCUGUUAUUUACUCACAAGAUAAGAAUUUAUAAGAAAUAAUUGUAUAAUAACAUGUUAUUGAUUAAACCAUAAGAUAAAGUAAAAUUCCUUUCUUCUCUUGUUAUAUUUGUUUGUUUGUUUACUCUUUAAAAUUAAUAAUUAGACUUGAUUUACUUUUAUUCCUUUACUCCCACAAUAACCUAGGGAAAAGUUAAAGCAUUGAAAAUUAAAAUAUAUAAUUAAAAUUUUCCACUAUAUUAUCAUUCCUUUCAAUAUUCAUUUUCUUAUGAAGGAGAAUACGCUAUUAAUCUAAAUGGUUUAAUCAUAUAAUAAGUAAUUCUUUUUCUAAUUUUUCGAGACUUAUAAUUAAAUGAACAAUCAUUUAUCCUUUUCUUAGAAUUAAGGAAAACAGGCUUACUAUUAUUUGCCAUUCUCACAAGCAUUUUAUGAUUCUCAUGAAUUCCAACAAUAUAAAUAUUUGAUUUAUAAGCUUAGCUUCCAUCAACCCAUUUUGUUGUUAUUUAAUACACAAACAAGCAAGCAAAAACACAAAGAUGAGCCUUCAACACUUUAGCCAUCAACAUCCACUAGUGUCCAAUGAAAGCCAUGGCCACGAAAUUGAAAAGGUGAAAUGCUCAGGAUGUGGGGAGUCAGUGUCAGGUUCCAGCUUUGGUUGUGCGGAGUGUGGGUUUUAUCUACACAAGCAGUGUGCUGAGGCUCCUACACAGAUGAAUCACCCUUUCCAUCGCGACCACAACCUUAAUCUUCUUGCAAGGAAUCCAUACAACGCCGGUACAGGUACCUGCGAUUUCUGUGAAAAACCCUGUGAGAAUUUUGUUUAUCAUUAUUCUUGCAAUUUAAACUUUCACAUCAAAUGUGCAUUAUUUUCUCAUAGCAUUGCUGAGAAAGGAAAUGCAGAGUUUCAAGACAUUUCCCGUAUAGAUCCAUCGAUCAAUACAGGAAAUGUUACUGAAGAACUCAAAAAAGCUCAAUGUUUUGCUUGUUGGAAGCCAUUAUUAGAUUAUGUAUACUUUUCUCCCAAUUGUGGCUUUUACCUGCAUUCAAAAUGUGUUGAUCUACCAACAGAAAUCAAUCACCUCUUUCACCAAGAACAUCCUCUCUUUUUACAAUUUAACAGUCAAAGACUCUCUUGCAAGAUUUGUCAAAAACCCCAACGUCGGGGAUUUGUUUAUUGUUGUCCACCUUCCAAAUUUGCCCUUCAUAUCCAAUGUGCCACAAUACCUACCAAAAUCAAUCAACCUUUCCAUCGCGAACACCCUCUUAUUCUUCAAUCUGUCGACGAAUAUCAUCCUUGUCAAAUAUGCCAAGAAACCACCAACCUUAAUGAUGUCGUGUAUUUUUGUUCAAUUUGCAAGUUUGUCCUUCAUAGUAGGUGUGUGUCAUCACCACCAACUAUAGAAGAUAAACUUCAUCAUGAACAUCCAUUUACCCUAUUUCCAAGACAAGUCUCAGUUUGUGAUGCUUGUGGCACUCUAGGGAAUUAUGUUCCUUAUAUUUGUUCCACAUGCGGUAUUUUUGUCCAUAAAAAUUGCAUUUCAGUGCCACGCGUCAUCAAAUUCUAUCGGCAUCAGCACCGCAUUUACCACACAUAUUUCCUGGACCAAAAUGAAUCUGAAUCGUGGGAAUGUAGAUUUUGCUUGAAGGAGGUGAACGCAAAGCAUGGGAGUUACUUUUGUUCUAAAUGCAAUUACAUAGUCCAUGUAAAGUGUGCAACAAAUUACAGUCGUUUGUAUUACGAGGUUGACUCUACAGAAACAGAAGAAGAGACGGACUUAAAUGAACCUGUCGAUUUGAGAGAAAUUCAUCCACAUAACUUAAUACUGAGUGGAGACAUUAGGGAUUUUAAACAAUGCGACGGUUGCCUUCUACCCAUCGAUACUUCUUAUUGUUAUUGUUCACAAUGUGAUUUCUUUCUCCACAAAGCUUGUGCUGCAUUACCUGUUAAGAAGCAUCUUUGGUUUCACUAUUGCCAAAAGCUUCUUAAACUUACUUCUGGUGCAUUUUUCAAUGUAAAAUGUGCAAAUAUUUUACAAGUGGCUUUGCCUAUACCUGUGAUAAAUGCCAAGUAAGUAAUUGUUUGCGAUGUUCUUUGGUUUCUGAUAUGCCUAAAUGUGAAGGACAUGAACAUCGCCUCCAUAGCUUUCAUAGCAAGAAUUAUCAAUUGUGUAGAGGUUGUGGUCGGCUUUUUAAAGGUUGGAUGUUCACUUGUAAGCAGUGCAAUUUUUAUUGGGAAUAGAACUGUCUUACAUUGCCUCUUACAGCUCAACAUAGUUCUGAUGUACAUCCUUUCAAACUCACUUAUCACAAGGAUGAUGACAAUUAUUCAGAAAAUUAUUAUUGUGAUAUUUGUGAAGAGAAAAGGAAUCCCAAAUAUUGGUUUUAUCAUUGUUCAGCUUGUAACACUUCAGCUCAUCGCAAUUGUGUUCUUAAAGAAUAUCCAUUCAUCAAGCCUGGGACCAACUACACAGAAAAAGAUCAUCCACGUCAUCUCACUUUUGUCAAAAGGGUUGAGUUUUAUCCAGAAUGUCAUAGAUGUGAUAAGCACUGCCUUGAUCUAUCCCUUCAAUGUAAGACAGUUGGAUGCAACUAUAUUAUUCAUUGGGAGUGUAGAACAUCUUGCAAGCCGCGGUGGGAACCGUCAUGGCAGCAACCACCGCCGCAACAGCUGCCGCCGCUGCCGCCACUGCUGCCGCCGUCACUACGACUACUGCUACCGCCAUCGGUGCGACAGUGGCCCCCAUUGCGACAACCUCCACCGGCGCGACAACCUCCACCGCCGCGAAAGCCUCUACUGCGGCGACAGCCGCCACGACAACCUCCACUGCAACGACAACCUCGACCGCAGCGACAGCCUCGACCGUCGCGACAGCCGCCACCGCUGCCUCGACAGCCUCUACUGCAGCGACAACCUCAACCGCAGCAACAGCCUCGACCGCUGCGACAACUGAACUGCCGGCUCGACAGCCUCCACUGCAGCGACAACCUCAACCGCAGUAACAGCCUCAACCGCCGCGACAGCUUCCACCGCGACAGCCUCCACCAAUGCGACAACCUAUACCGCUGCAACAGCCGCCGCCACCGUGAUAGCCUCAACCGCCACGACAGCAGCCACCGCCGCCACUGCUGUUGCAGUAGUCGUAAAGGCUGCCGCCAUGGCAUGUUUCUCUGUUUUCUCAAAUUAUUUAACUUAUUUGUAAUUUUUUUCUUUCAAUUUAUAUAUUUAGAGCAACUAAGAAAACUACCUACAAAACCAACUCACUAAACCAUGUAUUGUUGGAACUAGAUAAUAAGUAUCGAUUAUAGAUAUUGAUCAGUUUUCUAUACACUUACAUAUGUUCAAAUAUGUGUUAAAACAAAAAUUUUCAAUACUAAUAUUUUAAAAAAUAAAUAACAAAAAAUCCAAAGAAUAUAAAACAAGCAAAUGCCAAACCUCAGGCUCUAAUAUACAUUAUGUUAUUUUGCAACUAUUAACAGCAUCAUAAAUUAAAAGACAAAACUCAUAUAAAGAGAGCCAUAAUAUAGACAAAUUUUGAGGAAAAACAUUCAUAAUGGGUUCACAAAGGAAUACCAUUGUCCAUAAAUUUCAUCGUAGAAAUUCAUGUUUGUUUUACCUUCUAAACUCAUAUUUUAAUUAAUUAACAAAUUAAUAUAAUGAGAACUAAAACAAUCACUUUUAUUUACUUCAGGCUAUAUUUUAGUCAUUUAUUUUUGAAAUGUUACGUUUUAAUUACUUACGUUAACUUGUUGUAACAUUUUAGUCACUGAGCCGUUAAUUAUCGUUAACGAUGUAACGGUAAGCUAACAUGGCACGUUAAAUCAUCAUAUUAAAUAAAAAAUUUAGGUUAAAUUAUACAAUUGGUUCCCAUAUUUUCUCAUUUUGAGCAAUUUAAUUUUUUUCUUUUAACUUUUUUUCUUUAUUUUCCAUUCUCUUCUACUCCCUCCUCUAUUUUCCUCCCUUCUCUAUCUCUUUUAAUGUAGUUUUUCUGUGUUUUCCAUUUGAUAAAAUUAAUGGGAAAGAAGAAAAGAAAAAGAAAAAGAAAAAAUAAAUUGUUCAAAAAAAUAAAAAUAUAGAGACUAAUGGAAAGCAUAGAAAAAGUACUUGAAAAAGAUGGAGAAUGGAAAAUAAAGAACAAAAAACAAAAAAUUUAAAAUACUCAAAAAAAAUAAAAAUAUAGAGACCAAUUGUAUAAUUUAACCUGAAACUUUUGUUUGAAAUGAUGAUUUAAUUUGACAUCUGCUUACCGUUACACCGUUAACAGCUCAGUUACUAAAAGGUUACAACAUAUUAACCUAAGUGACUAAAGCGUAACAUUUCAAACAUAUAUGAUUAAAAUGUAUCGUGAGGCAAACAAAAGUGACUAUUAUGAUAAUUUAUCCCAAUAAGAAAUACAAAUAUAAUGUAAAGUAAUACUUUUUCUGUUCCAAUAAAAAAAAAGUGUAGGUAGCCAUGCUUUAUUAGAUAUCAAUCAAUGACUAGAAAUAGAUAGGCAAAAGCAAAAUUACGGCUACUUUUUUUCAUUGGGUCUCAAACAAAUUGAGUUGAAGUGAUUAACAAGUGAUUCUUCCCAUUAUUUUCAAGUCUCAUAUUAUUGGUAUUAAGUUUUACAUCAAUUAACUCUAAGUAUAUGGCUAUGGUUUCCAAGUUUAAGGGAGAUUCGAUCCUAGUUCCGAGAGAGGGAUAGAUUUACAAACAAUUACAAUUUAUUUGGAUACGGGUGAUCCAAACCCUGCUCAAUUUAAGCAUUACUUUAGAUCCCAAGAUUAGGGUUAUAAAUAGAAAAUUCUGAUGUUCGUAUAUCAUAAUUAUAGUUGUUGGACUUAAAGUUUAAUUUACAAAAAUUGAGCAAGAACAUUGUAAUAGCCCAAUUUUACCCGGGCUUUAAAUAAAAUGAAAUAGUCCCUUACAAGCCCAAAAACAACAAAAAACAGAAGCCCAAAUCAAAAAUAAAACCCUAAGACCUAGACAGCCCAAAACCUAAACAGAAAAAGAAAAAACCCUAGCCCCUAGCCUAAGCGUCGCACCCUACCAACGCCGCUCCCCCACGUCAGCCACCAACUGCUCUGCCACCACCGCCCAACUGCUUCUGCAGAGAAGUGAAGCACCCAAAGAAAAAAAUAAUAAUAAGUAGCAAUGAACAAUGGUUGUAAAUCAGGCUAUAAAAGCCUCAAGAAAAAUGUAAUGUUUUUUUAUAGAUUUUGAAUACAAACACAGAAAAUUGAAUAAAAAAACAGAGAAAAAAUUAAAAAAAAAAACAUAGAGAAUCAAUCAAAAAUUCAUAAAAGUGGUUCUUUUAUUCUUAUUUUUUUUAUUUUCAUUUUAAACGAUUAAAAAUGGUGUUUUUCAUUUUGUGAUUUUACUUGUUUUUAUUUUAAAGAAACAAACGAAAAAGAAAAAUGAAAAGCCGAAACCUUACCUUUUCGUUAUGCCAUCGUGAAAAUGGGGGGCCGAGGCUACCAUCUCUAAUGAAAGAUGGAGUUUUUGGACUAGGGGAGUCAAAAAGCCAAAGAAAAUGGCCUUUUUGAAAUUUUCGGCCACCGUGGACGGCGAAGCAGUCACCAUUGACCGGCGGCCGCCACAAUGGCCGACGGCCGGACCCAUAGCCGGAUUAGAAACCCUAGCAGAGAAAAACAAAGGUGCUUUGAAGUUUUUUUUUUAAAACUUUGGCAGAAAUGAGUUUUUUUUUAUUUUUUUGGCUUUUAUAAGCAAAGGAAACGACGCCGUUUUGAAAGGGUCAAAAAGGCCCCAAAACGAUAUCGUUUUAGACCAAACCUAGAAUCCGACCCGAACGAUCGGUGUGUUUUUAAAUAAGGGUCUAUUUACCCUUUCAAUCCUUUCGUUUUUAAAUUUUAUUUUAAUUCAGUCCCAUUUCAUUUUUUUAAUUUUACCCUGAAAUUUUAAUUUUGUUUCACUUUUGCCCUUGUGAAAUGAUGCGUUUAGUGGGUCUAGGAUUAAUUUCCCAAUUGGUCCUCCCACCUUUGUGCGCGUUUUAUUUAGGCCUUUCAAUCUGCCCCUUUAUUUCUUUAUUUUAAAAUCCAUCCCAAAAUUUCGUCUAAAUGGAAAUUUAAUCCUUGUUUAUUUAUUUUGAACCCUUUCUUUGACUAUUAUUUAUUUUUAUGGUUUCUGUUAUAUUUUAUCAUUUUAUUUUAUUUAUCUAUUUUAUUAUUAUUUCCUUUAAAAAAUGGUUUGUUAUUCGUAUACAUGGUACAUUCCUUUUGUUUAUUUUUUUAUUUUUUUAUUAUGGUUAUUAUUACUCUUUUUUUUCUUUUUCAUUUUUUUGCUUACUUAUUUAUUACCCUUUUUUCAUUAAUUUUAAAAAUUAUUUAUUAUUAAUUAUUUUCAUAAUUAGUAUUAUUAUUAUCAUUAUUGUCAUUUUCAUUAUUAUUAUCAUCCUAUUAUGCAUUGUCUCUUUUAUCACUAUUUUAUGCUUUGAAUUUAGAUGCGUUCGUCAACUGAUGUACCAUUCCCGAAUAAAAAUGCAUAUCAAUUUAAAAUACGGUUUAUUAUUAUUCAAAAAAGAAAAUUUUCAAAAUAAGGCAAUGUUCCGUAUUUGGAAAUUCGAGAAGUCGUACCCUAACUUACUGUGUUUCGAUUUUUCUCGUUGAACCUAAAUAACUGAAUAUCCUUUUAAAAUUAAAGUACAUGAGUUUUAAAUAAAAAUAAUUAAAGGCAAACUUAUUCUCAAGAAUACGAGGUGCCGUGUCCUAACGUAGGGGAUAUGACAAUUUGUUACUUCGAGAUAAGGAGGCGUUUUAACAUUUUAAUUUACUCGAGUAAUUUUAAUUGAAAUUAACAUUAAUAUAAAGAGAGAUCGUAUUUUAAAUUCUUUUCGAGUUUUCAAUUUUCGACACCAAGACAUUAAGUAAUCAAUUAGUACCAAUUUUGGGCGUAACGAGGGUGCUAACCCUUCCUCAUCCCAAACCCAUUUUCCUGAAUUUUGUAGACCAAAAUCAUUGUUUUAGUAAAUCAAAAUUAUUUAAUUGCGAGGUGAUCCGAUCACACCUCAUAAAAAAGGAUUGGUGGCGACUCCCAUUUCCAUUUUUGGUUUUUUUUUCAAAUAAAAAGUCGACCAAAAAAAUGGUUUCGACAAACAUAAUCUAUCGUUUAUUUAUAUUGAAAAGGAUAACUUAAAUUUCAAAAAAGACAUGCUAGGGGGCUGACUCUUCAAAGUUUCAUUCACCGAGUAGUCUACCAAUCCUCUAACAAUUGAAGGUAUCACUUGAGCAAUGGUUGUAGGUAAGUGGCCUAUAUGACUCAAUUGGUGGUUCGAGUCUACCCACAUGCUAAUGAGCUCCAAAAUUAUUACACGCCCUAUACCAGUACCUCUACCUUGAGUAUUGCAGGUCUACCAACCUAGACGCUCUUGGUUCUAUGAACCAAACCCAUAGGAAAGCUACUAAAAGUAUGCUACUGAAGAAUAAUCCUUGCGAUUGUUGGGGAACAAACCAACUGCACAGUGGACAACAUUUCGAAGAGUUCCCAAACCAUUCACCCGACCCAAUUGCAAGAACACCACAUUACUUAAUUUGAUACUUUAUGUUUCUUCUUUCCCAAGGAACACAACAGUAAGCACUGUCUGGGACUGCAACGAAAGCAAUUUCAUGCCCCUAUUUGCACAAAUAAGCUCUAAGCCAAUGUUAUUUCAAAUGAAAUAAAUAUACAUACAUGCAUGCAUAUUUAAAUAUAUACUUAAAAAGGGAUCCUUUACCUCAUCCACUCCCAUACCAAUGACAUUCUGGAUUUUGAACUAGUUGAGGAAAGUGAUACCAGAAAUUGUGGAUAUAGUUCUGCCUAGCCAUUAGAUCAUUCAUGACCAUAUAAGUGUAACAACUCCAUGGACAAACAAAAAGAUUGGUGGUGGAUACUGAAGAUUGGAAACAAGAGUGGUACAUUAUUAGCAGCGUAGUUAGAAACCAUAGGCUUUUAAAGGGUGUCUUUGUUUGCUGCUGACUGUAUGUAGUAGGUAUCACCUAAAUUUUAGUGUUCGACUGGGUACGUUAAACAUUCAACAUCGGUACUUAAUUGAAAAAAAAAAGUUCAAGCACUAAAUUGAACACUAAAAUCAAACUCAAAUAUCAAAUACUAUAUUACCCUUGUCGUAACCAUUUUUUUGAAAAAAAAGGGGAAUUGACUUAAGUUUUGAAAAUGAAAACGAAUAAAAGAGUCGCCACCAAUCUUUUUUGAUGAGGUGUGAUCGGGUCACCUCAUAAAAGUGGUUGUUUUUAAUAAAUGGUUUGAUUUAUUUAAAUAACGAUUUUGGUCCAUGUAAAUCAAGAAAAUAGGUUCGGGAGUCGGUUACGCACGAGGAAGGGUUAGCACCCUUGAUACGCCCAAAAUUGGUACCUAGUUGAUUAAUUAGCGUCUUAGUGUCGAAGAUUGAAAAUUUGAAAGACUUUGAAAUACAAUCCCUCUUCGAAUUGAUGCUAAAAGAUGACCGAAUAAGUUAAAACGGAUGUUUAGGACUCCUUCAUUCUGAAGUAAUAAAACGUCACGCCCAGUAAGUUAGGACACGACAUUUCAAACUUUGAGAAUGAGCUUGCCUUUAUUUGAAAUUCAUGUAUUUUGACCUUUUUAAAAGGAUAUUCGACUAUUUAGUGUAAACGAGAAAAAUCGAAACCCAGUAAGUUAGGGCACGAUAUCUCGAAUUUCUAAAUGCCGAAUAUUGCCUUUGUUAACAAAAAUCUUAUCUUGAGGUAACAAAAUGUCAUACCCGGUAAGUUAUUUCGUUAUUUAGGUUAAAUGAGAAAAGUCGAAACCCAGUAAGUUAGGGCACGAUUGUCUCGAAUUACCAAAUACGGGAUAUUUACUUUUACGAAAGAAUUAUUUUGGGUCGGGUAAAGGAUGAUAUAACGCGAAUUAGUAAAAACGAAAAGAAAUAAAUCAUGAUGUUAACAAGCGUAAUAAUGAAUUAGUAUAAAUGACAAAAAUGAAAGAAAUGAGCAAGCUAUGUAACUUAAGAAGAGAGUAACAGAUAAAAAUAAUAAAGAUGAUGAAAAUAAAAAUAAAUAAGGAUAAUAAGAAUAAAAAAAGAAACUUAAUAGUAAACCGAUAAAUAAAUAAGUAAAAUAUAAAAUAGUAAAAUAAAAAUAAUAAUGUUGACAAAAAGGUAAAAAUAUGUUAAUAAAAAAAUAAUAUGCUAAUAAUGUGAUAGUAAUGAUAAUAAUAAUAGUAGUAAAAAUAAGAAUAAUAUAGUAUUAAUAAAGGUACAAAAUGAUAAUAAGUAAAAAUGCCAAUGAAAAUAAAAAAAAAAUAGCAAUAGUAGAAUAGUAAUGUUCAUGCGUAAAUAUAAAUAUAGGUAUAAUACAUAAAACAUAAACAUAGAUAUAAAGAGAUAAAUAAAAUUAGAUAAAAUAAAUAUAGAUUAAAAUAUAAUAGCAAUAAUAGCAAUAAUAAUAAAUAUUGAUAAUAAACAAUAAUAAAAGGAAUAAAAAUAAUAGUAAUAAAAAUAGUGCUAAUAGUCAUAAUAGUGAUAAUAAUAAUAGCAUGAUAAAUAUAAGAAUAGUAAAAUAAUGAUGUUAAUACCUAAACAUAAAUAUAGAUAUAAUACCUAAAAUAUAGUAAUAACUAAGAUACAAGUAGGUAAGAAAAAUAAAUAUAUAAAUGAAAAAUAAAUAAUAAGAAAACAAAUAUAGAUGGAAGCAUAAUAAUAGUAAUAGUACAAUAGUAAUAAAAAUAAUAAAAAAGGUAACAAUAAUAUACUAAAUAGUAAAGAAAUAAUAGUAACAGUAAUUAAAAUAAUAAUAAUAAUAAUAAUAGAUAAUAAUAAUAUAUUAAAUUAAUCAAUAUAAAAUUUAAAAGUAAAUAUAUAUAUAAAAUAUACAAAAGUAAAUAAAUAACGAAAUGCUAAUGAUAAUAAAAAUAAACAAACCAAAGAUUAAAAAAAAAUAGAUAGAGAAACAUAUAAAAAAGGGUUAAAAAUUGAAAAUAAAAUAAAACAUAUAAAAUAAUGAUAAUAAUAAUUACAAAUAGCAAAACAUAAUAAUAAUAAAAUAAUAAUAAUAACAGCAAGAAUAAAAAUAGUAAUGAUAAUAGAAGAUAAUAAUAAUACUAUAAUAAAUAAUAUAUUAAUUUAAUUAAUUUAAUUAAAAUAUUAAAAAAAUACUAAAUCGAACCUAAAAUAAAAGCUCGGGGCCAAUUUGAAAAUAAAUAGAGAAGGAAAGGACUAAAUCAAGCGCGCAAACAAAGAAGAGGGACUAGAUAAGAAAUUAAACCCCUUUUUUUAGGCCCUUUUCGAAGCAUCAAUGGGUAAGGGUCUGAUUGAAAACUAAAUAAAUUAAAAGGUAAAAUUUAUAAAAACGAAAAUAACAAAAAGGACUUAAUUGAAAAGAUCCACAAAAGAGGAAGGACUCGAUCCGAAAUAUCCCAUCAAAGUAAAAACACGCGGAUCCGCCAGCAUAUGGGUCGGGUCACACAUGGGUUGUCCAAAACGGUGCCGUUUUGGCACCUGGACUUCCCCCAAAAACGGUGUCAUUUUAUUAACAUAUAAAGUCCCAUUUUUUUAAAAAAAGAAGAAUCUUAUUUUCUUUCUUUUCCAGAAAACCAAUAGCAGCCCUUUCUCCCACCAUUUUCUUCAUUUUCAUCUAUGCUAGGGUUUCAAAGAAACCCAUUUCGCUGCCGCCAUGAAGCCACCGUAGGUGGUGGUCGGGGCUACGCGAAAGGGGUCUUUUGACCCUGAUUUUGGAGCACCCGAAGGCGAUAUUCUCCUUAGCCCAAGAAGACCAAAAGAAGAAGGUCCCCUCCUUCUCCCUUUCGAGUCCGUUUCCGACGACGGAGAUGAACUCCGACGACGCGACCCUCGGGAUCCUGGUAAGUUCCCUCUUCCCCUCUUCUUUAUAUUUUUAUCCAAGAAAGAAGUAAAAAAAAGGAAAAUAAAUAACGAGAAAGGGGAAAAACCGAAAAAAAGCACAAGUAAUAGGAUUCCAAAUUAACCUUUUGCUUUUUUUAUUCUUAAUGCUCUGUGCUACCACUUUCUUUUAAAAAAACCUCCUUUUUAAAAAAAAAAAUCGGUCCCCUUUCGUUCGAUUUCCUUUUCGACUUUAUAGCCGAUUACAAAAGAAAUAUUUUUUAAUCUCUGCUAUUGCUUGCUGCUUCUGCUCUGUUUUGCUUCUCUUUUGCGUGCUUUCUGCUCUCUGUUUGUUUUGCAGGUGAUGGGAUGAUGGGACGGAGGCAGUGCAAGUGGAGGCAAGUGGCCCUAGGGUUUGCUGCUUCUGUUUUUUUUUUUCUGCUGGUGGUUUGGGCUUGUUUGUAAUCGGGUCUGGGUCUUUGGGGUUAGUUUUGGGCUUGGGUAUAUUGGGCUGAUUUAGGCCUGGUCAAAAUUGGACCGGUACAACCACUUUUCAGUUUUUUAUAAUAAUUCCUAGGUUCUAAACUGAAUUUAUUUCAGUAAACAGGUUUCAAUUUCAUAUUAUGAUUAUCUUAUGCUUAAUUUUAAUUAUAGUAAUACCAUUUAAUAGGUUUCAAUUUCAUAC
rnacentral:lncRNA from 1 species